GUCAAAAUUAUAUGGCCUUAUGAGAUAAAUUAUUUAUGCGGUAAUUAUGUGGACAACAGAUCAGAAUAUCUAAUUACACCAUCAGUCUUUGUAAUCAUAAUAGAAUUAGUAAAAGACAAAUAUCAUAUUUUCUAGUGGAUAACGAACUUGCUACACAAGUUCUAUAAGUUGUUGAUUUAUAUGAAUGGAUGAUAGUGGCUUGAUACUAUUACUCUGCGAAAAAUCUAACCCUUAACUUAUCCUUAGAUAUUUUUCACAAAUUAAUUUAUUUAUAGGGUGGUAGCUUUACCUAGGAAAGUGAGGUAAGCCAGCCGGA
rnacentral:lncRNA from 1 species